rnacentral:misc_RNA from 1 species
GGUGUUUGGAUUGCCUCUUCCGUCUGGCUCCGUGCUCGUGCAUUGAACGGUCGGCAUGCGAUCCUCGUCCCUUGAUGUGAGGUGUGUUUGAUGCCUCGCAGGUUGGUUCUUGUGCAGCCUACCAUUUUGGGUAAAGGAGGACCCUUUGAUGGUUUGCCUCCAUCCUGCGCCUGGCAAUGGGUGCAGGGGAGGAUGAAGCACCCCCGUGUUCCACUGAGCCUUGAUUGGUCACGUGGCCCUCGGGGUCGUGCAAUGCCCUUGGAUGCAGCGCAUGCGGCGGGCGAGGCCUGGUCCUCGUCCUAAGAGUAUCUUCGAUGUAAUGCAAGACGGUCGCACUCGUUCGCAGUCCGCUUA